UGAACGCUAGCGGCAGGCCUAAUACACGCAAGUCGAGGGGUAACAGGGAAGCUUGCUUCCGCUGACGACCGGCGCACGGGUGCGUAACGCGUAUACAAUCUGCCCUUAACUGGAGGAUAGCCACUGGAAACAGUGAUUAAUACUCCAUAACACUGCACGAUCGCAUGAGAGAGCAGUUAAAGAAUUUCGGUUAAGGAUGAGUAUGCGUGACAUUAGCUAGUUGGUGAGGUAACGGCUCACCAAGGCAACGAUGUCUAGGGGUUCUGAGAGGAUGAUCCCCCACACUGGUACUGAGACACGGACCAGACUCCUACGGGAGCAGCAGUAGGAAUAUUGGGCAAUGGAGGCAACUCUGACCCAGCCAUGCCGCGUGCAGGAUGAAGGCGUUC
rnacentral:rRNA from 1 species